CAGCAGUCAAGAAAACCGUUGAAGGCGUAGCAAACAUAAUCACACAGCGCCUGCGUUGAGGUCGUUGGCUGGAAAAUGCGCCCCUUAUGGGUUCUCGUUCUUGCAACAUGCAUAUUAUACAUAUUGCCCAACGGGCAAGGCCUUCCGAGGCGUUCAAAUUCAAAUGGCUUUCGUGGGCGGCAAUUCCAUAACUCUCCAGCGGUGUCACGCCAGCAUCACAGGGUUUACGAAAACAACAAUUACGAUGGCUAUGGAAGACAUGGUGGAUUUCAAAGCCUGCAUCAGAGGCAUCGCGGCCUGAGUAAACGACGUCCUGGCUAUGGUGGGAGACAUGAGUGGACGAAGAACGGUGCAUGGGCCCCGCACCAUGAUGGUAGGGGACAACAACGUCGACCAUUCUCUUCAAAGCGUUGGAAUCGCUCAAAGAAGGGCAAUAACUUCCGAAGACCUGGCAGAGGUUUUAAUCGGGGAAGAGGAGGCUUUCGUAAACAUGGAUAGUAAAUGAUGUAACAGUGUGCAGAACUGCUGGAGACUCAGCAGCCUACAUGUAAGUCCCGUUUACGUGAGUACAAGAGAAGCGUAUCAUACCCAAGUCGUACUUGAAAUCAAGUCGAUACGGCUACGUCCACAUUAAUGGGUGCAGCGUAAUGGAUAUGCCACGUGGUGCCGUAUUUGAAAGUUAAACGUCCACUUUUCCUCGUAACCCGCCGUUUUCGACAGAGUCGCGUACUCAGUGGCUCUAUAUAUACGGGGUGUCCCAGCUAAGUGUAUACUAAUUUUUUAAAAAUAUAUCUAUCACUUUUUCCGAGAUGAAAUCAAUUGCAA